rnacentral:rRNA from 1 species
AACGAACGCUGGCGGCAUGCCUAACACAUGCAAGUCGAACGAGACCUUCGGGUCUAGUGGCGCACGGGUGCGUGACGCGUGGGAACCUGCCUUUAGGUUCGGAAUAACUCAGAGAAAUUUGAGCUAAUACCGGAUGAUGUCUUCGGACCAAAGAUUUAUCGCCUUUAGAUGGGCCCGCGUUGGAUUAGCUAGUUGGUGGGGUAAAGGCCUACCAAGGCGACGAUCCAUAGCUGGUCUGAGAGGAUGAUCAGCCACACUGGGACUGAGACACGGCCCAGACUCCUACGGGAGGCAGCAGUGGGGAAUAUUGGACAAUGGGCGAAAGCCUGAUCCAGCAAUGCCGCGUGAGUGAUGAAGGCCUUAGGGUUGUAAAGCUCUUUUACCCGAGAUGAUAAUGACAGUAUCGGGAGAAUAAGCUCCGGCUAACUCCGUG